rnacentral:rRNA from 1 species
CUACGUGCCAGCAGCCGCGGUAAUACGGAAGGUCCGGGCGUUAUCCGGAUUUAUUGGGUUUAAAGGGAGCGUAGGCCGGAGAUUAAGUGUGUUGUGAAAUGUAGACGCUCAACGUCUGAAUUGCAGCGCAUACUGGUUUCCUUGAGUACGCACAACGUUGGCGGAAUUCGUCGUGUAGCGGUGAAAUGCUUAGAUAUGACGAAGAACUCCGAUUGCGAAGGCAGCUGACGGGAGCGCAACUGACGCUUAAGCUCGAAGGUGCGGGUAUCAAACAGGAUUAGAUACCCUGGUAGUCCGCACAGUAAACGAUGGAUGCCCGCUGUUGGUACCUGGUAUCAGCGGCUAAGCGAAAGCAUUAAGCAUCCCACCUGGGGAGUACGCCGGCAACGGUGAAACUCAAAGGAAUUGACGGGGGCCCGCACAAGCGGAGGAACAUGUGGUUUAAUUCGAUGAUACGCGAGGAACCUUACCCGGGCUUGAAUUGCAGAGGAAGGAUUUAGAGAUA